UACGAAGGGUGCUAGCGUUGUUCGGAAUUACUGGGCGUAAAGGGCGCGUAGGCGGCUCGUUUAGUCGGGUGUGAAAUCCCGGGGCUCAACCCCGGAACUGCAUUCGAUACUGGAGGGCUUGAGACCGAGAGAGGUGGGUGGAAUACCCAGUGUAGAGGUGAAAUUCGUAGAUAUUGGGUGGAACACCGGUGGCGAAGGCGGCUCACUGGCUCGGAUCUGACGCUGAGGCGCGAAAGCGUGGGGAGCAAACAGG
rnacentral:misc_RNA from 1 species